UUCCUCAGUCUUAGAUAGUGCUAACGAAAC
rnacentral:sRNA from 1 species